rnacentral:rRNA from 1 species
GGGUUGUGAGGUUAAGCGACUAAGCGUACACGGUGGAUGCCCUGGCAGUCAGAGGCGAUGAAGGACGUGCUAAUCUGCGAUAAGCGUCGGUAAGGUGAUAUGAACCGUUAUAACCGGCGAUUUCCGAAUGGGGAAACCCAGUGUGUUUCGACACACUAUCAUUAACUGAAUCCAUAGGUUAAUGAGGCGAACCGGGGGAACUGAAACAUCUAAGUACCCCGAGGAAAAGAAAUCAACCGAGAUUCCCCCAGUAGCGGCGAGCGAACGGGGAGGAGCCCAGAGCCUGAAUCAGUGUGUGUGUUAGUGGAAGCGUCUGGAAAGGCGCGCGAUACAGGGUGACAGCCCCGUACACAAAAAUGCACAUGCUGUGAGCUCGAUGAGUAGGGCGGGACACGUGGUAUCCUGUCUGAAUAUGGGGGGACCAUCCUCCAAGGCUAAAUACUCCUGACUGACCGAUAGUGAACCAGUACCGUGAGGGAAAGGCGAAAAGAACCCCGGCGAGGGGAGUGAAAAAGAACCUGAAACCGUGUACGUACAAGCAGUGGGAGCACAGAGCAAUCUGUGUGACUGCGUACCUUUUGUAUAAUGGGUCAGCGACUUAUAUUCUGUAGCAAGGUUAACCGAAUAGGGGAGCC